AGCUUUGCGCAGUUGCAGUAUCGUAGCCAAUGAAGUUUAUCCAAGGCACUAUUAUUGCUAAUUGAAAACUUUUCCCAAAUGUU
ensembl:snRNA LOC120098740 U4 spliceosomal RNA